UACGUAGGGUGCAAGCGUUAAUCGGAAUUACUGGGCGUAAAGCGUGCGCAGGCGGUCUUGCAAGACAGUUGUGAAAUCCCCGGGCUCAACCUGGGAACUGCAUCUGUGACUGUAUAGCUAGAGUACGGUAGAGGGGGAUGGAAUUCCGCGUGUAGCAGUGAAAUGCGUAGAUAUGCGGAGGAACACCGAUGGCGAAGGCAAUCCCCUGGACCUGUACUGACGCUCAUGCACGAAAGCGUGGGGAGCAAACAGG
rnacentral:rRNA from 1 species